rnacentral:rRNA from 1 species
GAUGAACGCUGGCGGCGUGCCUAAUACAUGCAAGUCGAGCGAACGGACGAGAAGCUUGCUUCUCUGAUGUUAGCGGCGGACGGGUGAGUAACACGUGGAUCACCUACCUAUCAGACUGGGAUAACUUCGGGAAACCGGCGCUAAUACCGGAUGAUAUUUUGCACCGCAUGGUUCAAAAGUGAAAGACGGUCUUGCUGUCACUUAUAGAUGGAUCCGCGCUGCAUUAGCUAGUUGGUAAGGUAACGGCUUACCAAGGCAACGAUGCAUAGCCGACCUGAGGGAGUGAUCGGCGACACGGGAGCUGAGACACGGUCCAUACUCCUGCGGGAGGCAGCAGUAGGGAAUGUUCCGCAAUGGGCGAAAGCCUGACGGAGCGACGCCGCGUGAGUGAUGAAGGUCUUCGGAUCGUAAAACUCUGUUAUUAGGGAAGAACAUAUGUGUAAGUAACUGUGCACAUCGUGACGGUACCGAAUCAGAAAGCCACGGCUAACUACGUG